rnacentral:rRNA from 1 species
AUUGAACGCUGGCGGCAGGCCUAACACAUGCAAGUCGAGCGAUCGGCGGCCGGGUGAGUAAUGUAUGGGGACUGCCCUAUAGAGGGGGAUAACUACUGGAAACGGUGGCUAAUACCGCAUACUAUCGGAUAACCCAUAUGGGAUUAGCUAGUGGGUGGGGUAAAGCAUCACCUAGUCGACGAUCUCUCGCUGGUCUGAGAGGAUGAUCAGCCACAUGGGGACUGAGACACGGUCCAGACUCCUACGGAGGCAGCAGUGGGGAAUAUGGCACAAUGGGCGCAAGCCUGAUGCAGCCAUGCCGCGUGUAUGAAGAAGGCCUUAGGGUUGUAAAGUACUUUCAGCGGGGAGGCGUUACCCGCAGAAGAAGCACCGGCUAACUCCGUGCCAGCAGCCGCGGUAAUAC